rnacentral:rRNA from 1 species
AUUGAACGCUGGCGGCAUGCCUUACACAUGCAAGUCGAACGGCAGCACGGGGCAACCUGGUGGCGAGUGGCGAACGGGUGAGUAAUGCAUCGGAACGUGCCAUUGAGUGGGGGAUAACGUAGCGAAAGUUGCGCUAAUACCGCAUAUUCUGUGAGCAGGAAAGCAGGGGGACCGCAAGGCCUUGCGUUCUGGGAGCGGCCGAUGUCGGAUUAGCUAGUUGGUGGGGUAAAAGCCUACCAAGGCGACGAUCCGUAGCGGGUCUGAGAGGAUGAUCCGCCACACUGGGACUGAGACACGGCCCAGACUCCUACGGGAGGCAGCAGUGGGGAAUUUUGGACAAUGGGCGGAAGCCUGAUCCAGCCAUGCCGCGUGAGUGAAGAAGGCC